CCUCCCCCCUCGUCAUAAAAAUCAUAUAUUUCCAAUGCCCGCCAUCAGCCGACCUUAUCCACGCUCGAUGGGCACGACACCUCAGGCAACCUAAUGUUUAACCUUUUAAGCAGGGGAGGUUGAGACCUAAAAAAACUUGUUCAUCUCAUUCCAUAUACUUAAACGUAACCACUAAAACUCAAUUGGCAAGGACAUACCCCCGCCACAACCCCGCUGUUUUACACCUAAAAUCAGCGGGGGACCCCACCAUAACCAGCCAUGGCCUGUUCACCCACUUCUUGCAGCGCUAGAUUAACAUAGGCCUAUUCCAACCUCCUGCAAGCGCACCCAUCCCCUCGAGAUAACUAGGCCGCAUCCGGCCAAACCCUAAGGCGAACUGUAAUCCCCCAAGACGAACCCAGAAACCCAUCUCGUCAGAAUUUUACGGCAUCGCACCAAGGCACUCACAUUGCUGAGCGCACUGCCGACAGGGACGGGCGAUAGCCUCAGCCUAGCCCCUGAGAACCUCUGGGAAGAAAAACAGAAUGCGCAACAUGUCCAGAUUGAAGAGCACCCCAUACAACACCGAACCCAUAUCAUUCCACCCAGAGAUGACAAAAAAACCCUGGUACCUCCAAGAGGCGGGACAGCUGACCCCGUACGAGGAGGACCACACCCCCACCAUGUAACUGGUGCCAGACCACUGAACCUCCGCUCCCGAAGGCGUAAGAUCCAACCACUCGCCCCCGCCUCCUGGCCCAAACUACACACGAGCAUCCCACCAUCCCCUUUCCGGGGGGGGGCCGUAACCGCGGUGAGAAAUCCAUUCGGAGACCAGCAGGGUGAACCUGAAGGAACCCACCACCCUGACUCCCAAAAUUCGAGCCCCUGAACCAUUGGCGCAGGCACGCCAAGCCUGGCGGCGACCGUAGCCGUCCCAAACCAGAAUAAAUGCCCCUCGAACUCCCCACCAACUUUCAGGCAAAUGACGGAAACCUGCACCGCCUCCGAUCAGAACGGAAUUUGUCAGGCCAUCCUGGGAACCCGUUACAUCGUGUUAGGAGCCCAACCAUUACCCCGUGCAUUCCAUCUACCUUAGGAGAAAGCGGAAAAGCCAGGGCACGUCGACCCCGAAACAUCCAAGAAUCGCACAGAUUCCAUCGACGCAUCAGCCACACCGCAACUGACUUACCCGUCCCAACGACAACAGCAGUCGAGCGGCGAAACCUGAAAUAAG